UUGCGUUUUCGUGAUUCGGAGUGCCUCUCACGCGGUUUCUCAAAUGCGUUACCCGGCUUUCGUCUCGAAAUUCGUCACCUAAAGAUUAAUAUCGCGGGUGUUAAUGUGUUGAGCGUGAUAUUAAUUUCCAAUCAUCCAUAUUAUUCACAAAUUUCCAGUGAUCGGACCGUGAGAUUAAAUGAACAUUUUUCAGUGCGUUUUGGUGAUAGGAUCGUGAGAUUCCAUGAAAAUUUUUUAAUGCGUUUUAGUGAUCGGAUCGUGAGAUUCUAUGAACAUUUUUCGGAUCUGGAGUGUUUACAGCUUGGAGUCAUGCAAAUUGGAUAUCUCUGUAAUGGUACGUACUCUGAUUUUAUUUUUUCCACUGCGAGAGGAGUACAUAACUAAAAUUUGCAGCGACGCGAUGUGGAGAGUUUCUUGGAACUCGAACAGUUAUCUUUAAAUCCAGAGAAAAACUAGCGUGGGUGUUAAACGACACGCCAUGAAAAUGGGAGAGGGCGGGCCAGUCGAAGAUGAUACAAAGUAAUCCAAAAGUUCCUAGUACCCUUAUAACCCUUAGAGUUCACGGCCAUUUCCAGAGUGGUCCCCCUAUCGUUUUCGAGGGAGGGGCGAAGGUCGUUUCCUUUGACUUGGAAAUGCCGACAAAAUUUCGAGUCUCUUUCUCAAUUUUUUAAAAGUUACAGGGUGCCUGGUACCGGUGAUGUUGGACUUUUGGAUCACCCCGUAUACACGAGAGUCGCCUCCUGGUACAAGUGUUUUAGUACAGGCCUAAAUUCUACUAUUUAAAAAUACUUUUUAUCUCAUAAUCCGGUUAAAAAAUUUCCCGCAUUUUUGAGCUCCCUGCUUCAGAAUAUUAUGCAUUUAAACGCAGAUGAGUCAUACUGCUAUAUCGAUAGUGAAACUGCCAAAAAGCGUAUGUUUUUGCGAUGUUGCAAAAUAUCCACUCCAUUUUAUUUUCAUCCCGAGGAAAAGCCAACGAUUUUGCUUGCUAUUUUCAUAGAAUAUUCUUCAGUCGAAGGAGAUUGUUUAGCAGAGUAAGAAAUGAACUUUUCGAUUCUAUCAGCGGGGUUUAGCAUUUUUACUGUCAAUAACAUAGUCUUGCGUGAAACCUUAAAUUGCAUUGUCAUGCCCAAUUACCAAAAUAAAACAUGUAACCAACGACUAACUAAUAACACGUAAUUUUUAGUGACUUUACAUAACCGCUUAGUAAAUCGGGUAACUUCCGUAAUGCGGUGUUUACCGUGGAAUAAUCCACUUUUUUAAAUCUCAGCGUAAAUCGCUCGUUUCCUGUAGAACAAAGAAGAAAAGCGCGUAUUUUGUUUUAUUUAAUGAAUCCCUAGCAAAUGUCACAUAUAUUUCGCAAUUUUCAGAUGAAACUUGUGUAAUUUCUCUCCUCACCACACGCGAACAUCAAGCGAGCAACUAUUCAAACUCAGUAGUGGGUAUGUGGUAUCACGCGGAAUCGAAGGAAAAUCAUACCUUUUAACAUAUCUAAAGUUACGGACGUUUCGCUCCCAUCGAUAAACAAAUCGCGUAUCUUCCGCGAUAUUGAGCCUAAAAGUCUAUGAUCUUCACUUUCAGCUGAAAAUGGGCGUAUGUGCCGCGAUAUUGAUGUGAAUACUAAGUAGCCAAUUUCAUUUUAUUUUUGCAAUAAUAGUUGGAAAAUCCAGCAUUUGCCGCGGUACUUGGUUGAUUAUCUCGCGUAAUCUCUAAUGCUUUGUUAAAACGUAGGAAAAUUCGCGUAUCUGCUGCGAUACCGAGUUAUAAAGUGAGUUAUUUCUUUUGAUUGAACGAAUAUGCGCAGCAAAUGUCUCGUAUUUCGAGUUUUGAGAUGGAACUGGCGCGGUGUAAUUUCUCACCUCACCACACGUGCGUGGACAUCAAGCAAGCAACUGUUCAACC
rnacentral:lncRNA from 1 species